UAAGUUAUUGUAUUUUUCAUGUUAUGUUUUAUUUCUAUUGUAUUUUCAGAAUUAUGUAUUUUGAUUUUGGCUAUGUACUUUUGGGGUGUUUUGUCCCCCAUGAACAAUUUUAAAUUUUGGAGUUAAUGUUAUUAUUUAUGUUUUAAAUUUUGUUUGUUUUAAUAAAUUUUUGGUUGGUUGAGUGGCAAACCUUCUAGAUUGGUUGCUCCUCAAAGAAGUAUCCAAUGAAGGUGCAUC
rnacentral:lncRNA from 1 species